rnacentral:rRNA from 1 species
AAAUGAAUAGACGGGAACCCGCACAAGCAGUGGAGCAUGUGGUUUAAUUCGAUGAUAAGCGAGGAACCUUACCAGGGUUUGACAUCCCUAGAAUCCCGCAGAAACGUGGGAGUGCCGCAAGGAGCUAGGUGACAGGUGCUGCAUGGUUGUCGUCAGCUCGUGUCGUGAGAUGUCGGGUUAAGUCCUUAAACGAGCGCAACCCUUAUCCUAUGUUACUUUUCAUAGGAGACUGCCCCGGUUUAACGGGGAGGAAGGCGAGGAUGACGUCAAAUCAGCAUGGCUCUUACACCCUGGGCCACACACGUGCUACAAUGGCUGGAACAAUGGGCCGCAAAAUCGCAAGAUGAAGCAAAUCCCACCAACUUCAGCCCCAGUUCGGAUCGAGGUCUGCAACUCGACCUCGUGAAGCCGGAAUUGCUAGUAAACGCGAAUCAGCUACGUCGCGUUGAAUACGUUCUCGGGUUUUGUACACACCGCCCGU